rnacentral:rRNA from 1 species
UACGUAGGGUGCGAGCGUUGUCCGGAAUUAUUGGGCGUAAAGAGCUCGUAGGCGGUUUGUCGCGUCGACUGUGAAAACUGGGGGCUUAACUCUCAGCUUGCAGUUGAUACGGGCAGACUUGAGUUCGGUAGGGGAGACUGGAAUUCCUGGUGUAGCGGUGAAAUGCGCAGAUAUCAGGAGGAACACCGGUGGCGAAGGCGGGUCUCUGGGCAGUAACUGACGCUGAGGAGCGAAAGCGUGGGGAGCGAACAGG